rnacentral:rRNA from 1 species
CAGCCGCCGCGGGAAUACGAAGGGUGCAAGCGUUACUCGGAAUUACUGGGCGUAAAGCGUGCGUAGGUGGUGGUUUAAGUCCGUUGUGAAAGCCCUGGGCUCAACCUGGGAAUUCAGUGGAUACUGGGUCACUAGAGUGUGGUAGAGGAUAGUGGAAUUUCCGGUGUAGCAGUGAAAUGCGUAGAGAUCGGAAGGAACAUCUGUGGCGAAGGCGACUAUCUGGGCCAACACUGACACUGAGGCACGAAAGCGUGGGGAGCAAACAGGAUUAGAUACCCCGCGUAGUCCCUGUCUCUUAUAC